rnacentral:rRNA from 1 species
CGAACGCUGGCGGCGUGCCUAAUACAUGCAAGUUGAGCGCUGAAGGUUGGUACUUGUACCGACUGGAUGAGCAGCGAACGGGUGAGUAACGCGUGGGGAAUCUGCCUUUGAGCGGGGGACAACAUUUGGAAACGAAUGCUAAUACCGCAUAAAAACUUUAAACACAAGUUUUAAGUUUGAAAGAUGCAAUUGCAUCACUCAAAGAUGAUCCCGCGUUGUAUUAGCUAGUUGGUGAGGUAAAGGCUCACCAAGGCGAUGAUACAUAGCCGACCUGAGAGGGUGAUCGGCCACAUUGGGACUGAGACACGGCCCAAACUCCUACGGGAGGCAGCAGUAGGGAAUCUUCGGCAAUGGACGAAAGUCUGACCGAGCAACGCCGCGUGAGUGGAGAAGGUUUUCGGAUCGUAAAACUCUGUUGGUAGAGAAGAACGUUGGUGAGAGCGGAAAGCUCAUCAAGUGACGGUAACUACCCAGAAAGGGACGGCUAACUACGUG